rnacentral:rRNA from 1 species
AUUGAACGCUGGCGGAAUGCUUUACACAUGCAAGUCGAGCGGCAGCACGGGGGCAACCCUGGUGGCGAGCGGCGAACGGGAGAGUAAUACAUCGGAACAUGCCCAGCCCCGGGGGAUAACACUUCGAAAGAAGUGCUAAUACCGCAUACGUCCUGAAGGAGAAAGCGGGGGAUCUUCGGACCUUGCGCGUUUUGAGUGGCCGAUGUCAGAUUCGCUAGUUGGUGGGGUAAAGGCCUACCAAGGGAACGAUAUGUAGCUGGUCUGAGAGGAUGAUCAGCCACACUGGGACUGAGACACGGCCCAGACUCCUACGGGAGGCAGCAGUGGGGAAUUUUGGACAAUGGGGGCAACCCUGAUCCAGCCAUUCCGCGUGAGUGAAGAAGGCCUUCGGGUUGUAAAGCUCUUUCGGCAGGAACGAAACGGCGAGCUCUAACAUAGCUUGCUAAUGACGGUACCUGAAGAAGAAGCACCGGCUAACUACGUGCCAGCCGCCGCAGUAACAC